AUUGAACGCUGGCGGCAGGCCUAACACAUGCAAGUCGAGCGGAUGAAGGGAGCUUGCUCCUGGAUUCAGCGGCGGACGGGUGAGUAAUGCCUAGGAAUCUGCCUGGUAGUGGGGGAUAACGUCCGGAAACGGGCGCUAAUACCGCAUACGUCCUGAGGGAGAAAGUGGGGGAUCUUCGGACCUCACGCUAUCAGAUGAGCCUAGGUCGGAUUAGCUAGUUGGUGGGGUAAAGGCCUACCAAGGCGACGAUCCGUAACUGGUCUGAGAGGAUGAUCAGUCACAUUGGAGCUGAGACACGGCCCAGACUCCUACGGGAGGCAGCAGUGGGGAAUAUUGGACAAUGGGCGAAAGCCUGAUCCAGCCAUGCCGCGUGUGUGAAGAAGGUCUUCGGAUUGUAAAGCCCUUUAAGUUGGGAGAAAGGGCAGUAAGUUAAUACCUUGCUGUUUUGACGUUACCAACAGAAUAAGCACCGGCUAACUUCGUG
rnacentral:rRNA from 1 species